AACAGGUGAAGAAGCCAUAUGAUUGCAGUGCUCCUUGCAAAAGCUUGGCCGACAAAAUUACUAUUGCAUCUUCCGGAGCCAGCAUAAAAGAACACAAAUCUCAGCAUUAAAGGAACUGGGACACUGGACGGGAAAGGUGCUGUCCUUUUGUCGGAAUGAACUUUAGGGAGAAUGAGCUGGUAGUCUGAAAAACUAGCAAAGCAAGACUACAAUGUCCAGUUUUAAAUUUAAGCAAAUGCGAGUUAGCUCCUGACAGUUCCAUGCAGUGCACCAUUCACUUAGUCCUCGGGCCAGCCCAGAACCGCCAGAUCGGCUAACGUGCAACUGCAUCAGGAAGACAGGAACCAACAGAAUUAUCCACCGUCUACAGAUGGGUUAAGAAGCAGGCGGACAAGCAGAUUCUUGUGGAUUAGAUCGUCGGAAUUUUCCCUGCACGAGGCUGUGCCUCUGAACAAUUAUGACGCUGACCCAGCAAAAGCAAUGUCUACAUUUCGUCUUUGGAAUCUGAGGAGGAAAACUAAAACAAG